rnacentral:rRNA from 1 species
AUUGAACGCUGGCGGCAGGCCUAACACAUGCAAGUCGGGCGAGCGGAGGACGGGUGAGUAAUGUAUGGGGAUCUGCCUGAUGGAGGGGGAUAACUAAUGGAACAGGUAGCUAAUACCGCAUACCAUCAGAUGAACACCUAUGGGAUUAGCUUGUAGGGGAGGUAACGGCCCACCUAGGCGACGAUCCCUAGCUGGUCCGAGAGGAUGAUCAGCCACACUGGGACUGAGACACGGCCCAGACUCCUACGGGAGGCAGCAGUGGGGAAUAUUGCACAAUGGGCGCAAGCCGGAUGCAGCCAUGCCGCGUGUAUGAAGAAGGCCUUCGGGUUGUAAAGUACUUUCAGUCGGGAGGCGUUACCGACAGAAGAAGCACCGGCUAACUCCGUGCCAGCAGCCGCGGUAAUUC